rnacentral:tRNA from 1 species
GCCAGUGUGGCUCAGUGGACAGAGCGUCGGCCUGUGGACUGAAGGGUCCUGGGUUCGAUUCCCGGUCAGGGCA